rnacentral:misc_RNA from 1 species
UUCCCUCCAACAAAACCUCAAUACUCAAUUGAAUUAGUUCAUCCUUCCACAAAUAGUAAUACGAAAAUAAUAAUCAUAAUACUAAUAAUAAAGAGUAACAAAUAACCCUGAAUAAUCUAUCAAUCGAGAAAACCAGUUCUCCGCCACACCGCAUUUCUUACCUGUCUAAGAUCCCUCCCUUUGAGAGUCCUCCCCACCCCUUCCAACACCGAGCACGCCAACAUCGGUGACUGCACCCUCGCCACGAUCUCAUGCGGCGGAAGCAUCUCUCCAUCCCCUUCCUCCUCGUCCUCGUCAAUCUCCUCGAAUUCCCUAUGUCUCCUUUUCAUUGCCAUCGAUAAAACCGGCACGUUC